AUUGAACGCUGGCGGCAGGCCUAACACAUGCAAGUCGAGCGAGCGGCGGACGGGUGAGUAAUGUCUGGGAAACUGCCUGAUGGAGGGGGAUAACUACUGGAAACGGUAGCUAAUACCGCAUACCAUCAGAUGUGCCCAGAUGGGAUUAGCUAGUAGGUGGGGUAACGGCUCACCUAGGCGACGAUCCCGAGCUGGGCUGAGAGGAGGACCAGCCACACUGGAAUUGAGACACGGUCCAGACUCCUACGGGAGGCAGCAGAGGGGAAUAUUGCACAAUGGGCGCAAGCCUGAUGCAGCCAUGCCGCGUGUGUGAAGAAGGCCUUCGGGUGGUAAAACACGUUCGGCGGGAAGGCGUUCCCCGCAGAAGAAGCGCGGGCUAACUCCGUGCCAGCAGCCGCGGUAAUUC
rnacentral:rRNA from 1 species